UGUACACGCUGUGACUAGCAUAUCAAUAAGCGGAGGAAAAGAAACUAACAAGGAUUCCCCUAGUAACGGCGAGUGAAGCGGGAAGAGCUCAAAUUUGAAAUCUUAAAGGGUUUCCCUUUACGAAUUGUAGUUUAAAGAAGUGUUUUCUGUUGAGGUUUUGGUAAAAGUUCUUUGGAAUAGGACAUCAUAGAGGGUGAGAAUCCCGUAUUUGACCUUUACUUUCAACUUUGUGAUACACUUUCAAAGAGUCGGAUUGUUUGGGAAUGCAGUCCAAAAUGGGUGGUAAAUUUCAUCUAAAGCUAAAUAUUGGCGAGAGACCGAUAGCGAACAAGUACCGUGAGGGAAAGAUGAAAAGAACUUUGAAAAGAGAGUUAAACAGUACGUGAAAUUGUCAAAAGGGAAGCGUUUGACACCAGUGUUGUUUUUCUGAAAAUCAAUUAAGGAACUGUUUAUGCUAAGUUGUUUAGACUUUAUCAGCUAUCUGUUUAGUUUUGAGCUUUUCUUUAAUGCACUUUUCAGUUAACAAGUCAACAUCAAUUUCUUUUGCUGUAAAAAAGCUUGAGGAAGGUGGCUUGAGAUUCGUCUUAAGUGUUUAUAGCCUCUUGCCUAUGCAGUCGGAGAGAUUGAGGUCUGCAGCGUAGAUCCUUCGGGGCUAAAUGCAUUUGUGCUAAGUUAUAGCAUUUUAUAGACAACUUGUUGACUAUGAUUUGUCUUGUAGCUUACUCGCUUAUGUUAUUUUACCUACGCUUAGGAUGUUGAGUCGUAGAGCACGCAG
rnacentral:rRNA from 1 species